CGCCUUCCAAGCAUCAGAUCACCAUCAUGCAUUAGCUGGGUCUUUCACACCCUGAAAGUAAAUGAGACAAGCUGCAUGUGGUCCGUGCUGAACUGUCGGUCGUUUUGAAAAAAGGGAAUUUGGCACAUCUGGAACAUGUCUACUUGCUGUGGAGAUGAUGACUUGUUCCAGAAGAUGUGCCACAUGGAGAAGGUCUUCAACUGUAAUGAUGCUGCCCACCCUCCUGGAAAGACAAUGACAUCCUGGCAUCUGUGAAGACUAAUGGACAUUGCAAAAAUUCUGCAAUAUCUUCUCAUCAUCUGCUUCAGCAGCAGUCUGGAAGAAUCACACCCAUCAGAUUGACAUGUGAUAGCUACACGUUUGCUGACUGGUUUUUCCUCAUGUCUGCAGGUUCCAUCAACCCCCCUCCAUACUCUCCCCGGGGGGGGGACAGCACAACGGAGCCUGCCCCACCCCUCACCCCACCCCACCCCAAGUGGCAAAUGUGUGGGAUGAGGCAUGAAGGUAUUCCACCGUCACUUUCAUUGUCC